UCAUCAAGUGUGAUUCAUCAUUUACAUAUAUAAAUUCUAUUUUGUACGGAAGUUUAAAGUGAUAUUACAAUCAUCUAUAUAUUAUACUCCAUUCCUUUCAAAAGCUGCUCCCAUCUUCUUAAAUUCCUGCUCUCAUCAAAUUCCUCUCCCAUUCAUUUAUUUCUCUUUAUAGGAUCUCCCAUCUUCUUAAAUUCCUCAAAUUUUCAAAUUUCAUCCUCGCUCAUACGCGAGUUUGUUACCAUUGAAGAACAAGGACAAAAUGGGAAGUACUGCUUCAGAAGAACACCAAUCAAGUAAAGAAAAGGCCAAUUCAUCCCCGAAGCAAUAAUUCACAAAAUCUGUUAAAGUGAAGAUUCACUUUACACUAAAAAAUUAAGAGUUGCCUAGAAAUGUAUACUACGGAGUACUACACUUCAUAUUACACCUAUUUUUACGCCGAACCGCUAUGUACAACACAUGCAAAUUUUUAAUUUUUCCGUAAUUUUGUAAAGCAUUUGUUAUGAGUAUUUUUUUUUCUUCAUACUAUUGUUUGAAAUUUUUACUCCAUAUUAAAUAAUAUAUUUUUUAUUGUUUCUUUUUA